AUCCAGAUGACCAGUCCCAAAUAGGACGAAACGCGCAUCCUGGAU
rnacentral:hammerhead_ribozyme from 1 species